rnacentral:rRNA from 1 species
GGGGGGAGCAAGCGUUGUUCGGAAUCACUGGGCGUAAAGGGCGUGUAGGCGGUCAGGUAAGUGUGAUGUGAAAUCCCUCGGCUCACCCGAGGACCGGCAUCGCAUACUGCUUGGCUUGAGUACGGGAGAGGAUGUGGGAAUUCCUGGUGUAGCGGUGAAAUGCGUAGAUAUCAGGAGGAACACCGGUGGCGAAGGCGCACAUCUGGCCCGAUACUGACGCUGAGGCGCGAAAGCUAGGGGAGCAAACGGGAUUAGAUACCCCGGUAGUCCUAGCCGUAAACGAUGGACACUAGGUGUUGGUGGUAUCAACCCCGCCAGUGCCGAAGCUAACGCAUUAAGUGUCCCGCCUGGGGAGUACGGCCGCAAGGCUA